GUGAAUCAUCGAAUCUUUGAACGCAAAUUGCACUCUCCUCGGAGAGUAUGCCUGUUUGAGGGUCAGCCUAUAAAAAAUCAACAUCGUUGCUGUUCCCCGGUGGCGUUCGUCGGAAAUUGGGCCAUCUUAAAUCCUUUUGUUUUAAGCGACUUAAAAUUUUCUUUGGGUUCAUUGACCUUUUCUAAGUUCUAUUUCUUUACAGGUUAAAGGGUAUCGAUUUUUAUUAGACGUGACCAUCAUAUCGGAUCGCGUCCAUAAUCUUUCAUUA
rnacentral:misc_RNA from 1 species